UACGUAGGGUGCGAGCGUUAAUCGGAUUUACUGGGCGUAAAGCGUGCGCAGGCGGCUUGUUAAGCAAGAUGUGAAAUCCCUGGGCUCAACCUAGGAAUUGCGCUUGUGACUGGCGGGCUCGAGUACGGUAGAGGGGGGUGGAAUUCCUGGUGUAGCAGUGAAAUGCGUAGAGAUCAGGAGGAACACCGAUGGCGAAGGCGGCCCCCUGGGCCUGUACUGACGCUCAUGCACGAAAGCGUGGGGAGCAAACAGG
rnacentral:rRNA from 1 species